rnacentral:lncRNA from 1 species
GGGAGAGCGGGCAGUUCUAGGAGGCCGACCUGGAGAGCCUCCCGGUUCCCCUUCCCCUUUUCCCGGACCCCGCGGGGACACCCCCUCGCCGCCACCCGGGCCUCCCCGAGGGCCCAACUGCGGGUCAGGCGGCCCGGGCCAGCCGAAAGGGAAGUGGGGCUACCCCACAGCCAGGCAGCGGGGCUGGGGUCAGACCCGGGAGCCGGAGGUUGGAGACGUGCGACAGUCACCUGCGGGCAGAUUCCAGAGGGGAGACCCAGGGCUGCAGGGGACGCCCCUUCGUGGCAGCUACCCAGCCUCGGCCCACUGCCAGUGUUACGUGGCUGCAUGACCAUACACUUCUGGGUAGAGCCCAGUGGAAGACAAAGAAGACUCAAGGAAUAGCCCUUGAGAUCCUGAACCAACUUUGAAGGCAGAGAAGUGGGCUAGAAGAAGUGGGGUUGGAGCCUCCACCAAGGACAAGAAGGCCUUAGCCCCCUGCUUCCAGCUCAAGCUGAAGUGGCUGUGAGCUGAGCUAAGAAGACCCCACUUCGCCAGGAGGAGUGCCUCACGCCUGUAAUCCCAGCACUUUGAAAGGCCGAGGCAGGUGGAUCACGUGAGGUCAGGAGUUUAAGACCAGCCUGGCCAACAUGAUGGAGUCUAGCUCUGUCGCCCAGGCUGGAGUACAGUGGCGUGAUCUCGGCUCACUCCAACCUCCGCCUCCCGGGUUCAAGCGAUUCUCCUGCCUCAGCCUCCUGGGUAGCUGGGACUACAGGCAUGUGCCACCCCG